rnacentral:rRNA from 1 species
GACGUAGGGCGCGAGCGUUUGUCCGGAUUUAUUGGGCGUAAAGAGCUCGUAGGCGGCUUGUCGCGUCGACUGUGAAAUCCCGCGGCUCAACUGCGGGUCUGCAGUCGAUACGGGCAGGCUAGAGUGAUGUAGGGGAGAUUGGAAUUCCUGGUGUAGCGGUGGAAUGCGUAGAGAUCCAGAAGAACACCGGUGGCGAAGGCGGCCUGCUGGGCAGUUGCUGACACUGAGGCGCGACAGCGUGGGGGAGCAAACAGG